CUUGCUCCCUAAGGAAGCACAUUUUAUAUUUUAACAUAAGGCUCUUUGAAAAGAAAAAAGUCUGAACUUACUAGUUAAUGCAGAAAAUACAGAAAGCUGCUGAGUCUCUGGGGCCACUGAUCCAGAUGCCCGAGUUUUCAACUCAGCCAGAGGUGUCUGGGCUGGGCUCACAUUUGUGUCUGCUCCUCCUGUCAGUCAUUCGAAGACCCAGGCUGAAGCAGAAGAGGUACACACAACCUAGGCUUCUUCUGGCAGAUGGGAAAACUGGAAAAGAACAACAUCACAAGCACUUUGAAAGCCUCUUCUCAAGUCAUAGGAGAUCGUGUUCCUCAGCCAAAGCAAAUCCCACGGGCAAGGCCAAUGUCAAGAGAAUGAAAAAGUACAGUUUUCUGCUGUACUUGGAGGCUGUGAGGUUGGAGAAGUAGGAAAGUUGAGAUAAUUUUCCAUUCUUAACUAACGCUACUCCUCUAGUAAACUAUAGAAUGGUGGGAAUUCUUAUUAGGAAAAUUGGACUAUGCAUCCAACACCACACACACACACACACACACACACACACACACACACACACAUGAGAUACAUAGAGAAGCCAGAAGAACACACAUGUACCUCUCCUGUGGAGUCACAUGCCUUGGGCAAAAAGUAAACCAGAAAGCUGCUAACUUUUAUCAGUUUUUCUUGGACUAUUUAAAAGACAGGGGUGUUCUUUGGACAAAGCAUGGCUUUGGAGAAAGAAAGCCUUAGUGCAAAUGAGAAAUAAUACAUAUACUGACACACAAAAUCCAGCACUUUUAACAUCAGUGGUCUAACACCAACAUGGCCUUUUUCAUUAAAAAUCUGAAGUCUGUGAGACAGGCCACUUCCAUCCUGAGAGCAUGAUUUCAGUGCAGAAAUUUUAGUAAAACCAGAAUGAAUCAAAGCAAAACAAACACUUUUAUACAGCAGCUGCACAAAUCAAGUCUAAAUAUCAACCUACUCCAACAGUUAAAAACUCAUCAAAGAAUAAAAAUGAUCAACACCAAGCCCUUGAGCCUUAGUUAAAAGAAUUAAGGGAACAGAGGAAGAGAAAAAUGGAAGGCGUAAGGACGAUUUACCUCAUUAUGUGCAAGCAAAUAAACAACUCUCUGAAAUGAUCACUGGUAAAACAUGAACCAAUGGAAAUAAACCAACUGGAUUCUCCUUGGGUGUUUUUUCUGAAGCCUUGUUUCCUGUUGCCUCUGUUCCCUUUUCUCCUAGAAUGAGUCAGGGAGGCGAGGAAAGGGCAGAUGUUAAGAAUGUUCUUCCUCUCAGUAGCAAGAAGCUAUGGCAGUCUUUAUUCUGGAGAAGUUUCCAGGAGUAUUUUAAAAUCAUUGUUCUCCUUCCCCCCACGGAAUUAUCUGUCCUAAAUUUUCACUGUGAAAACCUCUGGAGGUUCCUAGAAGCAAAAAUUACAAAGUGGAGUCCUUUUCGUACUGUGGUGUCUGACAGUGUCUCACUCUUACACUUCUCUAUCCCCAGCCUUUGCUAAUGAAAGUGAACAUUUCUCAGCUUCUACCAGAUUGAUCUCUGGUGGCUUUGUUCCAGGUAAGCGAAUCUCAGCUGUCCCUCUCUGGUUGUGCCUGUUUUUCCAGAUAUCAAGGUAGUGGUUUCCUCAAUCCUCUGGUCAAAGAAAAGCCAUUGCUUUUAAGUUUAACCAGCUCAUUCUUGUUCAAAAAGGGGAAAUGAUAAUUCCUAAGCUCUUUCCAUGCAGAUGCUUCACCACACAUGUCCUAAAUCAGGAUUAUUCACCACAGGAUUAUGAGAACAGUAUCUUUAUAUCUUUUAGUUUGGAAUAAUUAUAGAUUUAGAAGAAGUUUUACAACGUUACAGAGAGGUUCUCAUGUACUCUUUUUUCAGUUUCCCCCAGUGCUAACAUCUGGCAUCCAAAAAAUAUGAUAUGGAAUCCAAGAAGUUGGCAUUACUGUAAUCCCGAGUUUAAAUGGAUUUCAUCUGUGUAUGUGUCCAUGCCACUGGAAAAUAUGAGUGUGGUAUCUUACCGAGAUGCAAUACAUGCUAUAAACAGUAGGUUAGCCUUUGAUAUAAUAUUAUUAAAUUUGAUGGAGACUUUAUUUGAAAAUUAUCAGUUUGUAUCCAUUCUUCUGUAUGUAGUUUUAUGACAUACUUUUAUAUUUAUUGAUUUAAAUAAUCAUUACAUAGCCAGGCUUUAGAAGUAUUCAAUCAAGAGAAAGAAAUUCUUUGUUUUGCUUAUUUCUAACUCCUUUUUAAAAAAAGAUAAUAAAACAAAACAAAGCAGAGCAGAGUAGAACAGUGCAAAUAACACAGGAUUUUAGAAAAAUACAGCAGGAAAUCAACAGUGGCUACCAUAAUGUCUCUUAUUUUCUUUGAAAUAGUUGUCCAUACCUUCACACAUAAAAUGUUAAUACAAAUAGAAACAGUAUAAAAGCAAUCAGAACAAAAGAAUGAGAGUCUUAAGGGCUUUCAAGACCAGACAUUAAGAAAUCAGUAAUGGGUAUAUUAAUGUCUCUUUUUUUCUUCAAAAUAGCUGUCCAUAGCUUCACACAUAUUGAAAUCAAAUAAUUGAAAACAGACUAAAACCAAUCAAAACCAAGAAUAAAAGCAUUAUUGGACUUCAAAACAAAAUUGUAGGAAAUCAUCAAUGGCUACCAUGAUGUCUUGUUUUCUUCAGUGUAGUUGUUCAUGUUAUCACACAUAAUGAAAUCAAUUCUUAUAAACCUUUUAGGUAUAGUUCUAAGCAUAUAUAAGCCUAUCUGUGUGCACCUAUUCUUUCUGUAUUAAAGGAAAAACCAAAACAACAAAUAAAUAACUGAAACUAACAGCCCAAAACAAUAACAUUGUAGGCUUUCAAAACAAGGAGGUAGGAACAUAAUAAAUUUUGUUGUUUUGCAUAGUUAUCUUCUAAAGUCUCACUCGAAUUACCAGAUACCAGUCACGAAAAACUGUUCUAAUUCCUACAGACAUUAACUUUUAUUUCAAGAACUAAUUUUCAAGAACUAAUAGAACUAGUAGUACAAUCAUCUUAGUAAUCUUAAGUGUAUAUAUACAAAUUUAUAUGUUCUCUUUCUCCUUUUCUCGAUUUGCUUGUCUGAGUUAUUUUUUCUUCUUUUAGCAGUUACUUAACCUUUCAUAACAUUUAUUGAAAAUUUUAUAUCUUAUUUACCUUUUCAGUUUCUUACACUAGGGAGACAAUAGGUAUUUAUACAUGUAAGUUUGAUUUAUUUCACUUAUGAGUAUGGUCUUAAGUCGCUUGCAUUUAUCUCAAUGUUGUCUUUCUUUAUAGGUAAUAUUGCACUGCAGAAAAACAUCACUUUUUUUAUCCAUUCCUCAGUUGACGGGCAUUUGGGUUGUUUUCAAGAGUUAGCUAUUACAAAUUGUGCUACUAUUAACAUAGGUGCAUAUAUAUCACUAUGGUAUGAUGUUUUCAGUUCUUCUGGGUAUAUACCCAGAAAUGGAAUAGAUGGAUCAAAUGGAACUUCCAAUCCUAGAUUUUUGAGGAACAUCUACACUAAUUUUCACAGUGGUUGCACCAUUCUAUACUCCUACUAACAGUACCGGAGUGUUCCUUUCCCCCCAUAGCCUCUCCAGAAUUUGUUAUUGGUGGCUUUCUUGAUCCUAGCUAUUUUUUCUGGAGAUGGAGUCUCAGUGUUGUGUUAAUUUGCACUUCUGUAAUGACCAAUAAUGUUGAACAUUUUUUUCAUGUAUGUUUACCAUUUAUAUUUCUUCAGCUGAGAAGUGUGUAUUCAUCUCAGAUGCCCAUUUUUGGAUUGGGCCUUGAAUAUCAGGGACCUGAUAUUCUUAAAUCUUUAUAUGUUCUAGGUAGAAAUACUUCGUCUGAGGGAUAGUUGACUAAGAUUUUUUUUCCCAAUUCAUGGAUUUUCUUUUCACUCUGUUGGAGAUUACUUUUGACAUGCAAAAACUUUUUAUAAGAUGAGUUCCCAGUUGUUGAUUCUGGGAAGUAUGUCCCAUGCAGUUUGACUUUUGUUCAUGAAUUCUCUACCUAUACCUACAUCUUCAAGAUUUCUACAUACUUUGUCCUCCUGCAGAUUUAUUGUUUCUGUUUUAACAUUUAGAUAUUUGAUCCAUUUUGACAUUAGUUUAGUGCAUGGUGAUAGGCAUGGGUCUAGUUUUAGUUUUUGGCAUAUGGAGAGCCAAUUUUCCCAGCACUUACUAAAGAUGUUAUCUUUCUUCCACUGAAUGUGUUAGGCCAAAGAUAAGUGGUUGACUGUGUUUGUAGUUGUGGUUAUAUCGUCUAAUCUAUUCCUAUGAACUUCAGACAAAGAAAUUCUUAUAUUAUCAGUUAUAAGGCUAAUCCCUAGCAUUCACUGAGCACUGAGGGGGUUCUUGUCACUAUAAUUUAUAAUUUACUUACUUGGAAAAUGAUUAUAUAUAUAUAUAUAUAUGGCUACCUUUUGAAAUUAUCUUAAAAAAAAAAAAAAAAAACAGCCAGCUGGACCAUGCUUAGCAACCUCCAUUCAUUCAGUGCCAGGAGCAGAGGGCAUAGGAGGCAACUUCCAAUAUGCCCAGGAAAAGCUUUGGAACAUCACUUGAAACACAAAAAUAUAGGAAAAUGACAAGACAAAAGACCAAAAUGCAAUCUCAAACCUCCAACCCAUCCCAAGAAACCCUAGGAGCCAUGUACAUAGAAGAAAAUAUAAGCCAUAAACCUGAAAUGCCUUAAAUGAUAGCAACUGAAAUAAAGAAGCAACUCCAGAAAGAUAUAAAGGAACUCAAAUUAGAAAUAAUCUCUGAGAUAAUAGAAGUCAUGAUAAAAGUAAUGAAAAAAUGCUGAACACAUCUAAAGAAGACACAGUUAAAAAACUAGAGGAACACUGCAAAAAGAUAGAAUCCCUGGAUGAACAAUAUAAGAAACAAACAGAAUGCAUGAAGCAGAUUCAAAGAGAUACAUAGGAAAUCAAAAAUUUCAUUGAAAGUUGUAAAAACCACCUCAAGGAAAGUGAAGAUAGAAUUUCAGACCUCAAAGACAACAUUGCAGCUAGUGAACAGGAAAGGAAAGAUCUUUUAAAAGUAACAAGGAAUCAGGAAAUAACAAUUCAACAGUUGCAAGAUGAUGCAAAGAAAAACAAUGUAAGAUCAAUAGGGAUAAAUGAAAAAGGAGACAACACAAAUGAUAUAAAGAGGCUAUUUGCAGAAAUAAUAGCUGAAGAUUUCCCAACAUGACAAUGGAAACUGACAUAUGGAUUAGUGAAGCAUAUAGAACCCUAAAUAGCCAUAACCAAAAUAAAACUACACCCAGACGUAUAAUAAUCAUCAUCCCAGAAAUCCAACAUAAAAAUAGAAUAUUAAAAGCUAUCAGAGAGAAAAUACAGAUCACUUCUCAAGGAAAAACUAUCAGAAACACAGCAAAAUUGUCACCACAAACAAUAAAGUCAAGAAAUGCAUGGAGUGAAGUAUUUCAGAUCCUAAAGGAAAACAACUUCCAAACCAGACUGAUGUACCCUACAAAACUAUCCUUCAACAUCUAUGGAGAAAUAAAAUACUUCCAUGACAAAGAACAGCUGAAGAACUUCAUGAUCACCAAACCAACCCUGCAAACAAUGCUGAAAGACAUUCUAGACACACAUAGGAAAAAACCACUAAGCAAGGCAGAGAAACAGAAUGGAAAGGUAAAGAUAUAACAGCACAAAGAUAAUGUCAACAAUAAACCAAUAUCUAACAGUUACAACCAUUAAUGUAAAUGGUCUCAAUUCACCAGUUAAAAGAAUAAAAGACUGACAGAAUGGAUCAAGAAACAAGAUCAAACCAUAUGCUGUCUAUAAGAAACCCAUCUAACCCAAAAGGAAACUGAGCGACUGAACAUCAAAGGGUGGAAAACAAUAUUUCAUGAAACAGAAACCCCCAAAAAUGUAGGGGUAGCUGUUCUGUUUGCAGACAAUGUGAACUUCAAACCAACAAUGAUCUGAAGAGAUAAAGAAGGUCACUACAUACUAGUUAGGGGAAAACUUCAAGAGGAAGAGAUAACAAUCUUAAAUAUAUAUGCAUCAAAUUCCAGAGCACCCAGCUAUAUAAAGCAAGUAUUAACAGAAAUGAAAAAUCAAGUAAUCAGUAACACAAUUAUAACGGGAAACCUUAGCACACCACUGACACCAAGGAACAGAUCAACCAGACAGAAAAUCAGCAAAUAAAUAACAGAACUAACUCACACCUGUCAACAAAUGAACUCAAUAGACAUAUACAGAGUAUUCCAUCCAGCAACAUCAGAAUAUACAUUCUUCUCAGCAGUACAUGGGACAUUCUCUAAAGUAGACCAUAUACUAACCCACAAAACAUAUUUAAACAAAUAACAAAGAAUUGAAAUUAUCCCAUGCAUGUUAUCAGAUCAUAGCACCAUGAAACUAGGAAAUAAUAAUAAAAGAAAUUGAAAAAAAUCCCACAAACACAUGGAAAUUGAAUAAUAGACUCAAGCAAUCAGUGGGUCACAGAGGAAAUUAAAGAAGAAAUUUAAAAAGCAAACAAAAAUACAAUUACAACUUAGCAGAAUCUAUGGCAUUCAAUGAAAGUAGUCCUCAGAGGAAAAUUUAUUGCACUGAGUUCACACGAGGAAAACAAAAUAAACAGAAAUAACCUGAUGUUAAACCUUAAACAUCUAGAAAAAGAAGAGAAAGUCAAGUCCAAAACCAAAAUAUGGGAGGAAAUUACAAAGAUCAGAGCAGAAAUUAAUGCAAUAGAGACUAAGAAAACAAUUCAAAGAAUCAAUCAAAGAGUUGGUUCUUUGAAAGAAUAAAUAAAAUUGAUAAGCCCAUAGCCAAUCUUAUUUUAAAAAGGAAAGAAAAAUCUCAAAUUCAUGCAAUAAGGAACGAAAAA